AACGAACGCUGGCGGCAUGCCUAACACAUGCAAGUCGAACGAGACCUUCGGGUCUAGUGGCGCACGGGUGCGUAACGCGUGGGAACCUGCCCUUAGGUUCGGAAUAACUCCCCGAAAGGGGUGCUAAUACCGGAUAAUGUCUUCGGACCAAAGAUUUAUCGCCUUUGGAUGGGCCCGCGUUGGAUUAGCUAGUUGGUAGGGUAAAAGCCUACCAAGGCGACGAUCCAUAGCUGGUCUGAGAGGAUGAUCAGCCACACUGGGACUGAGACACGGCCCAGACUCCUACGGGAGGCAGCAUUGGGGAAUAUUGGACAAUGGGCGAAAGCCUGAUCCAGCAAGGCCGCGUGAGUGAUGAAGGCCUUAGGUUUGUAAAGCUCUUUUACCCGGGAUGAUAAUGACAGUACCGGGAGAAUAAGCUCCGGCUAACUCCGU
rnacentral:rRNA from 1 species